rnacentral:rRNA from 11 species
GCUCUCUGCCUAAACUCCUUAAAGGCACCAGAUUCUGUCUGAUCUUGGAAGAUAAGCAAGAUCAGAUCUGCUUAGCAUUUGGAUGGGAGACUGCCAAUGAAUACCAGGAGCUGAAGGCU